CAGGAGGCGUCCGGGAGCCAAGACCUGGAUAAAGAAGACCCUGGAGUGACUCCGGACCCCGUUGCAUGGGAGGCACAGAGCCAGCUUGUCGAUUUGAACUGAAGUCAGCUUCGGGACAGGGAGGCGAGGAUCUGAGGAGACCACGGACACGUGGAUGCAUGGGGGCCGCCUGUUGCAAGGGAUCUAAGAAGCCUCUCCAAUGCCCUGAGCCCACGAGGGACCUCCACAGGGAGCCUACGACCCCUCAUGCACGCUGCACACUUCCUCCUGCCCUCGUCCUCGGUGGGGUGGCUGACUCACCAUCCACGGCUCUAGAUGUGGCCGCUGGUUCUUCUCUCUCCCCGCCGCCGUCCCCAGCAGUGAGCCCGCACACCAGGAGCUCUACCAGCCUUGCCAGAGGCUGAGGCAGGUUUGUGAGGGAUCCGGGUGGUGAGGUUAACCCACGACAGCCCAUAGAAGCCGGCGGUUCUUGCCUGUUAUCUUCAGAGGAGGUGGCGGUCCAUCCUUUCACUCCGCCAGAGUACAAACAGCUCUAGUGUGAUCUGCACUCGUCACUUUACCCAGAGAGGCGGGGAAGGCUGGCCGGCCGCCCUCCGCCAGAGGACGCCCUGAGUUGGUCCACGCGCCUCGUCCCGUGUCUCACUCACUUGGAAGGUGAGUUCUAAGUGCACACGAGACUCACCCUCCUCAGCAUGGAUUGACCUCACCCUGGUUUCCCUCUGAGCCUUGGGACACAGGUUGGGGGGCAAGGAGAGCUUUGGAAAGGAGAAGAGGCAGAACUCCAACCCCGAUGGUCUUUGUCCCUCUAGGUGGGAAGGACACCCCCCUCCCGCACCAGAACUCAAGCUGCUGGAAGCAGGGGGCGUUCUGCUCUGCCCGUGGCUGUGGCCCUGCGCUGGAUCAGGGCCUGGAGGACAGAUGAAUGCGCCCCCAGCAGGGGUCUCUGAGUCAUCCCCAUCCCGUCCCAGGCAGGACUAGCCUAGACGGUUGAUGCAGCAACAGGAUGCGGCCAAGGGCAGAGCCUAGCCCCUGAAGAGAGUGGGGCGGGAGCCCACUGUGGGAGGAUGGUGGUGUCUGGGUCGGGGAAUGGUCAGGCUGGGCAUUCAUGCAGCAGCCACUGCGGCCAGGAGCUGUGGGAUGGCGACCAGGUGAGGCAAGGGACGCUGUCCCGUGGGGUGGCAGAAGCAGGGCUGGAGCAACAGGUAGAUGGGUACCAAGCUGCGUUUCCCAGGUAUCCAUGCAGGAAGCCCUGGAUGAGAGCCGGGGCUAAAGCCUGAGCCAGGGGACCAUUGGUCAGCCAGCUGUGGCCUCGGGGCGCUGGACCCCUGUGUCAGUGAGGACUCUCCAGAGAAACAGAACCGUGUAUAUAUAUAUACACAUAUGAGAUUUAUUAUACAUAUAUAUUUAUUAUACAUAUGCAUACAUUUAUUAUAAGUAUAUAUUUAUUAUGUAUACAUAUAAUAUAUAUCUGAGGUUUAUUAUAAGGAAUUGUCUCUCAUGAUUGUUGCGGCUGACAAGUCCCCAGAUCUGCAGUUGACAAGCUGGAGACCCGGGAGAACGAUGGUGGAAGUUCCAGUCCAAAGGCUGGAGGAUCAACACCGAGGAAGUGUCGAAGUCUCAGUUUGAGUUCAAAGGCGGGAAAAAGUUGAUGUCCCAGCUCAGCAGUCAGGCAGGAGGGGUUCCCUGUUACUCAGACUUUUUGUUCUAUUCAGACCUUCAACUGAUUGGAUGAGGCCCACCCACACCAGAGAGGGCCAUCUGCUUUACUCAGUCUAUCGAUUUAAAUGUUAAUCUCAUCCAAAGCCCUCACAGAAACGCCUAGAAUAAUGUUUGACCAAAAUAUCUGGGUGUCCGAUUGAGUUGACACAUAAGUUUAGCCUUACACCUCCAUCAGUGCCCACUCCCACUGGUUUCCUGGCUGCACCCCAGCCCAGCAAGGGGGAGGGGGUGACAGACUCCUGGUGCAUUGUGCUGGAACUGCCUCAAGUGUCCACAGACCGCAUCCCAGAGAGGCCCAUGGCCAGUGACCAGGAGAGCCGGCCAGCCUGCCAGGUUUCUGGCUUCACGGUGCCCCACUGCCUGCACAGUCACAUGUCUUAGAUUUUUCUGGGCUAUAAAAAAAUUCCCCUAAGAUGCAAGAGCCUCAAACUUUGUGGGACUGUCUGUGUCUCAAAAUCUUAGACUUUUUGCUUGGCGCUCGGCAAGUCCUGAGAGAGCUAAGCAAAUCUGAUUCCCCCCGAAAAUCCAAUACCCGUGUACACUCGGCCUGGGCAGAUUCAGUUUUCUCCCCACGUUUCAUCCUUCGGUCUUCCUUAGGGAGCAGCUCCUCACAGCCUCUGCAAGUGCUGACGUGACGUUCGGAGAGGUGACAGCUCACAGACAAGGUUUGCCACGUGGGAACCACAUGGAAAGCAGCCUCCCACCCAGUUAAUCCACAGAGGCCGUUUCGGUCUUUGCCGGUGUGCUGAGCGCCAGCUCGCUGACAACACAGACUCAGCCACACCUCGUACACACGCGCAUGUGCACGCAGCAGACACGGAUGCUCAUCUGCACGCGGCGACCGUCUGAGCUGUGCUCUAAAUAUUUACCCCCUCCUUGUGGAAACGCCGGAAUGAGUUUAACGGAUGAUAAACCGAGAUAUUCCCUUAAAAGUAGACCUCCUGUCUGGAACUUUUUUUUUUAAAGAUUUUAUUUUUUCCUUUUUCUCCCCAAAGCCCCCCGGUACACAGUUGUAUAUUCUUCAUUGUGGGUCCUUCUAGCUGUGGUAUGUGGAACGCUGCCUCAGCGUGGCGUGAUGAGCAGUGCCAUGUCCGUGCCCAGGAUUCGAACCAACGAAACACUGGGCUGCCUGCAGUGGAGAGCGCAAACUUAACCACUCGGCCACGGGGCCAGCCCCCCAUCUUGAACUUUUAAAAGCAAAGAAUCUAUUGUCGAAAAGCUCCUUUGUGUAAGGACGCCGACCUUCUGGACACAGCCACACACCAGGACAUAUGGGAAUAAGGCCUGGAGCAGUUAAAGAGCUGCCACACAGCUCAUGCAUGCGGCACGUUAGGCCAGACGCUCCGAGAAAAAUGCAAUGUUCUACCUUAAGUUUAUUUUCCUGUUUUUUUUUUUUUUUUUUUUUCCUGGAAACCUCCAAUUCUGCUCUUGCUUUUCAAGACAGCAAGAAGGCAUAGCAUCUGUCUACCUGGAAUAAGAUACUGGCACAGAAGGCACCCCCAGGCAGCAUGACAGGUGUUCCAGGGCCCCAGGCCUGUGAUGUGCUGGUGUGGGGUGAACAACCAGCUCUCCUAAAAGCAAACGCUCUGCUCCCGCCGUGGCUGCUUUCACGCUGACAGCACGAGGUCCUCACUGCAGAGUUGGGAGGCGAUGGUGUGCGACCUGUCCUUGCCAGGUGGUGAAGGCCGCCUCCAGUGCACUGCUGCAGCCUGUGGCUUUGGAGAAGAGACCCUUCCUUGUCCCAGGUGAAGCCUACCACCCGGUUCUCAGUGACCCGAGAGGGCUCGUGCAUGACUGAGAGAGUCAUACUGAGGGGCAGGGCUCGCAGUGCGGGAGCCAAGGUGGGAGCUCGUACUCACGAUUCUCCUGUGCCAUGAACGGCUCGUGACCCCCGAGGCAUGGUUGUCUCUGCAGACCUGCUAACACAGGGCUUGGGAGCCACAGUGUGUCCAUCAUUUCCUGGGGGAUACCACCCCGAGGGCUUGACCCCAGACCCCUUGGGAAGAGCGUGGGAGGAGAAAUCUGUGUUCUAUUUGUCACUCCAAGAGGAGACCAGCCACCACUCGCCUACCAGCUCUGCCCCAGACCUCAUAGUGAAGACAGCUCGGUGCCAGCCUGGGAUGUUCGAGCAGCCCGCCUCCUCGGUCCUCGGGCCCCACCUGUGGCCCAGGACGAACAGCGGCCGGGCAGGCCCAUCACGGUUCUCUCCAGGAUCUGGUUCCAUUUCUGUUCUGUGACACACAGACAUCUCUUCAGUGCGCAUCUGAUUGAAACUCUCGUAGAAAACGUCACAGCCACAAGGGGACUUUGCACAAGGCCUGUGCUGUGUGCAGAGCACAGAAGGCCUGCUCACGGCCCAGACGUGCCACACGCCUGCGGGUUCUCAGACAGUGGUGCCCGCCCCUCACUCUGCCUUUGUAAUUUCCACUUGCCACGGAGUGACAUGCUAACACGGGAUCAUCUGGUCAUUUUGUGCAAACCUCACACUACACGUCUUUAUUAGCAGGUGCUAAAUUGCCACUCCAGCUGCUGAAUAGUAACAAUUAACUCCAUUAACAUCCAACAGCUGUAAUUUUUGAGGAAAUGAGAAACAUUAAUAACUACUACCAAAAGCUAAAAAACAAAGCCAAACAGAAACCCAGCAUGCCCCCAAGGGUGAAAUUACCAACAUGGAGGAGGUGGUCCCAGGGUUCAGACAGGCCCCCAGGCCCCUGGAGGGUGGGGAAGGGACUUACCCCUCUGUGCAGGGCUGUGCCCCCACCCCCUGGGGGACAGCCAGGGGUCAGGGUGAUUCCUUCCCGGGUCAGACUGCCCAAGACGCCAGCGGGGCCUGAGGAGGGAAACUGGAAGGAAUGAAAGGGACACCCUCGGGGCCUGAGUCCCUGUGCCCUGGAGACGAAGUGGAGCAGAGUGUGGUGACUGCCUGGUGGAUCGGUCAUCCUCCAUGUCUAUGCCACGCGCAUACAUGAGUGUGUAUGUACAUAUAUGUGCACAUACACCCUCACACACGUGUGCACCCCCACACAAACCCAAGCACAUACAUCCACGGACACCCACAGGUGCACAUACACACUGCCCACCUGAUACACAUGUGCAUACACAACCCUCACACAUGUGCACAUGCCAUGCACAUCGUGCACCCAGGUGCACACACACAUGCACACCCUCACACGUGUGUGCGUGACUGCACACACAGGUUAUCGCCCUUAGACCCAGCCACAGGGGUUCCUGCCCUGGGCCCUGCACUAUUGUGAGGACACUGUAACACACACGCAUGCACAUGCACACUCACAUGCACGUUCACAACGUCCUGAAGCACACCUGGGUGUCCAGGCCCUGGAGGAACGCCUCGCCACGUUUCUUGCCCUGUGUCCCGGAAAGAAAAGGUGGUCGUGUCGGGCUGUGCCGUCUGUGAGCUGCUGACAGUGUGGAGGAAACCCCUUCUGAGGGUGAGGAGGGUUGGGGGCCCAGGUGCUUAGAUAAAAUCAGACAAGUUAACCAGCUGGUCCGAUCUUCCUCCUCAGAGAGCGCGAGAGGAAGGGACUUUUGCAAAGUAAAAUGUCAUUUCCAAGUAGAGACUUAAUUUUCAACAAACUAAAUAAAAAGUCAGCUUUGUUGAAAUAAUUUUAACUU
rnacentral:lncRNA from 1 species